UGUCUGACGAUAGCUCUGGAUAGCUUCAAAUAUCCAUGGAUAAUUGUGGUAGUUAUAGGUAAUAUCAAGCCUCAUUCUCAUCUACUUAUGUCAAUAUUCCAUCCUAUCUCUCGAGCUACCACUAUUAAAUACGUACGACUCGGUUACCAUUUCACUCAGUGAAUGUUUUUUUUACUUUGCUACAAAUAACCAUUGUUUCAAAGUUGAGCUUCAAUCCUCAGUCAGGAAGGUUCUGGUAGCUUCCCACUACCAAUCGGAUAGUAUAAAUGAGUAAGUGGGUGAUAGGCGAUUUGAAUGCAUGGCUAAUGGUUAACUAUAUGCUGGCUUCCUGAAUAACGGAAGUUGAGAAAUCCGUUGCGGUUCUCUCUCGUUUCUCAGACAGGGGGGUGACACAGCGCUGUGUAACAUUCAUAUGGCGCAAGGGGCACAGUAAAUACUAGUCUCUAAUCCUUCGUGCUCUCCUGCUUUGUUUCUUCUCAAGUUGGAAUCCCUCCGUGGCAUUCGAUGGAAUCCUGGGUGUGCGGACAGAAGGCAUAUAUAUCCCACAGGUUCAGAGACCGUUUGGAGAACCGUCAAGGAAUCCCCACGCAUAGUGUUCUCUCUUCCUCCACGUUAUGAAUCUAGUAUUCUUUCUGUUUAUCGCCAAAGAUAGCUUGAUAGCAUUGAUAGCGAGCGUGCUUUUUAAGCAACUCGAGGCACAGUUAUCGGUUCUCUUGGAUCAUCAAUUUUGUUGUUGAAGUGCAUCCGUUUGGGGACACCACAAUCGAAACCUUCGCUUUGAAAUAUCAGGUCGUGUAUACGUGGAAAGCUCUGUGUUUGUACAGCACGUGUAAAUUACAUGUGUUUCUACUUCACUUUUCUAUACUUCAUUUUCAUACAGCGCGCUUCACUUUAAUGUAGG
rnacentral:sRNA from 1 species